GAUGAACGCUAGCGGCAGGCUUAACACAUGCAAGUCGAGGGGCAGCACGUCUUCGGAUGGUGGCGACCGGCGCACGGGUGCGUAACGCGUAUAGAACCUACCUUUUACAGGGGAAUAGCCCAGAGAAAUUUGGAUUAAUGCCCCAUAGUAUUAUAGUAUGGCAUCAUAUUAUAAUUAAACAUUUAUGGGUAAAAGAUGGCUAUGCGUUCUAUUAGCUAGUAGGUAAGGUAACGGCUUACCUAGGCAACGAUAGAUAGGGGUCCUGAGAGGGAGAUCCCCCACACUGGUACUGAGACACGGACCAGACUCCUACGGGAGGCAGCAGUGAGGAAUAUUGGACAAUGGAGGUAACUCUGAUCCAGCCAUGCCGCGUGCAGGAAGACGGUCCUAUGGAUUGUAAACUGCUUUUAUACAGGAAGAAACACUCGGACGUGUCCGAGCUUGACGGUACUGUAUGAAUAAGCACCGGCUAACUCCGUGCCAGCAGCCGCGGUAAA
rnacentral:rRNA from 1 species